rnacentral:rRNA from 1 species
GACGAACGCUGGCGGCGUGCCUAAUACAUGCAAGUAGAACGCAGUUGCGAACGGGUGAGUAACGCGUAGGUAACUGCCUCAUAGCGGGGGGUAACUAUUGGAAACGAUAGCUAAUACAGCAUCCUGUGAGAUGGACAUGCGUUGUAUUAGCUAGGUGGUGAGGUAAAGGCUCACCAAGGCGACGAUACAUAGCCGACCUGGGAGGGGGAUCGGCCAACCUGGGACUGAGACACGGGCCAGAAGCCUAAGGGAGGCAGGAGUAGGGAAUCUUCGGCAAUGGAGGGAAGUCUGAACGAGCAACGCCGCGGGAGUGAAGAAGGUUUUCGGGACGUAAAGGUCUGUUGUUAGAGAAGCGUUAACUAACCAGAAAGGGACGGCUAACUACGUGCCAGCAGCCGCGGUAAUUC